GGGGAAGGGUGAGAACCUUCGAUUAAGGUUCGACUCGAGCGAAAGCGAGAGAACGUUGCCAACGGCAACGGCCCGUAGGGUGAGGAGCGAAGCGACGAAUAAUCCUUCCCCCACCGCCA
rnacentral:sRNA from 1 species